UACGAAGGGAGCUAGCGUUGUUCGGAAUCACUGGGCGUAAAGCGCACGUAGGCGGAUGUGUCAGUCAGGGGUGAAAUCCCGGAGCUCAACUUCGGAACUGCCUUUGAUACAGCACAUCUGGAGUCCGGAAGAGGUGGGUGGAAUUCCUAGUGUAGAGGUGAAAUUCGUAGAUAUUAGGAAGAACACCGGUGGCGAAGGCGGCCCACUGGUCCGGUACUGACGCUGAGGUGCGAAAGCGUGGAGAGCAAACAGG
rnacentral:rRNA from 1 species